rnacentral:rRNA from 1 species
GGCCAGACUCCUACGGGAGGCAGCAGUGGGGAAUAUUGCACAAUGGGGGAAACCCUGAUGCAGCGACGCCGCGUGAGUGAAGAAGUAUUUCGGUAUGUAAAGCUCUAUCAGCAGGGAAGAAAAUGACGGUACCUGACUAAGAAGCCCCGGCUAACUACGUGCCAGCAGCCGCGGUAAUACGUAGGGGGCAAGCGUUAUCCGGAUUUACUGGGUGUAAAGGGAGCGUAGACGGCAUGGCAAGUCAGAUGUGAAAGCCCGGGGCUCAACCCCGGGACUGCAUUUGAAACUGUCAGGCUGGAGUGCAGGAGAGGUAAGUGGAAUUCCUAGUGUAGCGGUGAAAUGCGUAGAUAUUAGGAGGAACACCAGUGGCGAAGGCGGCUUACUGGACGAUGACUGACGCUGAGGCUCGAAAGCGUGGGGAGCAAACAGGAUUAGAUACCCCCGUAC